rnacentral:rRNA from 1 species
AAUACCGCGUACGUCCUACGGGAGAAAGCAGGGGACCUUCGGGCCUUGCGCUAUCAGAUGAGCCUAGGUCGGAUUAGCUAGUUGGUGAGGUAAUGGCUCACCAAGGCGACGAUCCGUAACUGGUCUGAGAGGAUGAUCAGUCACACUGGAACUGAGACACGGUCCAGACUCCUACGGGAGGCAGCAGUGGGGAAUAUUGGACAAUGGGCGAAAGCCUGAUCCAGCCAUGCCGCGUGUGUGAAGAAGGUCUUCGGAUUGUAAAGCACUUUAAGUUGGGAGGAAGGGCUGUAUGUUAAUAUCCUGCGGUUUUGACGUUACCAACAGAAUAAGCACCGGCUAACUUCGUGCCAGCAGCCGCGGUAAUACGAAGGGUGCAAGCGUUAAUCGGAAUUACUGGGCGUAAAGCGCGCGUAGGUGGUUCGUUAAGUUGGAUGUGAAAGCCCCGGGCUCAACCUGGGAACUGCAUCCAAAACUGGCGAGCUAGAGUACGGUAGAGGGUAGUGGAAUUUCCUGUGUAGCGGUGAAAUGCGUAGAUAUAGGAAGGAACACCAGUGGCGAAGGCGACUACCUGGACUGAUACUGACACUGAGGUGCCGAAGCGUGGGGAGCAAACAGGAUUAGAUACCCUGGUAGUCCACGCCCGAAACGAUGUCAACUAGCCGUUGGAAUCCUUGAGAUUUUAGUGGCGC